rnacentral:rRNA from 1 species
AUCUUCCGCAAUGGGCGCAAGCCUGACGGAGCAACGCCGCGUGAGUGACGAAGGUUUUCGGAUUGUAAAACUCUGUCCAGGGGGAAGAAGAGAAUGACGGUACCCCUGGAGGAAGCCCCGGCUAACUACGUGCCAGCAGCCGCGGUAAAACGUAGGGGGCGAGCGUUGUCCGGAAUUACUGGGCGUAAAGGGCGUGUAGGCGGCAUAGUAAGUCCGUAGUGAAACCCGACGGCUCAACCGUCGGCUUGCUAUAGAAACUGCUAAGCUUGAGUGCAGAAGAGGGGAGUGGAAUUCCCAGUGUAGCGGUGAAAUGCGUAGAUAUUGGGAGGAACACCAGUGGCGAAAGCGGCUCCCUGGCCUGUAACUGACGCUGAGGCGCGAAAGCGUGGGUAGCAAACAGG